rnacentral:lncRNA from 1 species
CAGAGCACUGCAUCCACUCACCCAAUUAGCCUGCACCUCAUGAACACCUAUUGUGAGGCCAGCACCAUGGGGAAACUGAAAGAACCAGAUAUUCUACCACCAUGGAGGAAUGACCUCACCCUGGGUAGUAACUCUUCCCUUCUGCUCAUCUACCCAAAGAUGGAAAAUAAAGGGCCUGUGCACAGCUCGGCGAACUGCUCCGUGGACCUCCCAGCGGGGCUGCUUUCUGAGGUGAUGGUCUCCUCGCUCCUUAGCCAGCCUGGUGGAGCCAGCUACUGACGUUGGAAAGGAGUUGGAGGAUGGAGCACCAGAUACUGCUACACCAUCUCAUCGGCAUGGACCUAUAUGUGGCAGCAAGUCCAUCUCAUCGCUUUUGGUGAAAGUCAGUCCAGUUUGUAAAGAUUCUCAUUGCCUUGGAAAGUGUUCCAGGAAUGGACUUUCUGCAGUAUGAUGACCUGCAAAAGCAGCCCUUCCAUUUACAUUUCAAACUCCAAGUCAGCCGUGUCAAAGUUUGAACCAGAACUGUGGAGGAUAAUGGGUCAGAUGCAAUUAGCAGCCCAGAGAACCACACGUUGCAGUCUGAUUUAUUUUUUUGCCCAUCAGAUUCCAAGAAUCCUAGUGCUUAAAAGCAACUAAACAAUCGCUCUAUUGUACUGAAAUAAAGCCCGGUUAAUUCAGAAAUCAAUUGCACCACCAGGUGGGGCACACUCUGGCCCCAAACAGAUGGGGUUGAAAACUCCCCUCAAAAUGCAGUCUUGUUAAAUUAAAAACUUGAUCCAGGAGUGGAACAAAUAGGGAGCCAUGAAUGGAAUGGAGUCAGGUCCACUCAGGCGGAUUCUUUCUUCUCCCACUCCUUUUCCUUUAAAAAAGAAAAAUUCCCCAUUUCACUUUCAUCAGUGUUAGCAUCUAUGCAGAAACGCAGCCAUCCACCCUUUGCAGUUGAAUGUGUUACUUUAAUUAGUCUGAAAAUUAAAGGGCAACUCCGGGCCAAUGUGAAUGAUUAUGAAAAUACAUGUGCAUCCCAUGCAAUCUUCUCAUUUAAUUAAUAGUCUUGUAAACUAUAUGGCUCACUUUAAGUCAGUCAAGAGGUAUAACAACUCCAUUUUAAAUAUCCACUUAAUACUUAACAGGAUGUGAGGAACACACUAUAGCAUACGGUCCCUUCUCAAGUUUCACUGUCUGAAAUUUUUCAAAGCUGACCCAAGUCAACCUGAAAAAUGUUUAACACCCUGGGCUUGAACACAAGAAACUCUGUGAUGAACAGACAUUCAAUUACAUUUUUUAAAAGUGAGAAGCAUUUUUGUAAAAUAGCGACUCUGGAAACUAAUUGGCAGCCGCAAAACUUGUGAGCAAAGGCCAAAUCUUGUGGGGAACUUUUACUACAGUAACACGACUCAAAGAAAAUGUGAAUAAAAGGCAUCUUUGUUUCCCAGUCAAAUUAGCUGA